rnacentral:sRNA from 1 species
CUUUCUCUGUGGUCCUUUUGCAAUUCAGAGGCCUCCCGUCUUUUCCUCAGUUUUGUCAGGAGCAGAAGACUCAGCUGACUGUUUUAGCCUGUGGAGUCCAGAGAGGGAAACCCCUAAGGGUGAUGCUGAUGCUGGCGUGAUGCUGAUUUUGGAAAUGGUCUCAGGAAGCUCAGGUAUCUGUUGACGGCUUGGCGAGUCCGAGAGCCUGCUUAUCUUCCUUAUAGGGACUCUCAGACAAGGAUAACUGAACUUUCACAGACCCGCCGGAGACCUGAGAAGGAUAAAUGUUACCCGAGAAAACAGGACGUGCAGAGCAAGCAGCUUCUAAAACUGAAGAAAUGGCAGGAACGGUUGGCUCCCUGGACAGUCACCCAAGGUUCCUCUAUAUUGUUGAGGCAUUCAUCUUCAGAUGCUAAGUCAAGAAGAUCUGAUGUUUAUCUGUGAAACAGGAACUUUGAAGGACUAACCUACCUUGUCUCACCAAAGUUGGUCAACUUCCCAGUGUCCUGCUUGUCCACAGUUUGAACAGCAUGUUGUCAGCAAUUGAGGUCAGAGGUAUUUGUUAGUUUGUCUGUUUUCUCAGUGACCAUCUUUGUCACCGUGGAAGCAAACUCCAGGUGAAGGCUCUGUGGUACCCAUCAUCUUCUUUAGAGUACUGUGGGUACUGCCAGGAGCAUAUAUGUUUCUAUCAGAAAAUUCUUUGAUUAUUAAAAUAUCUUAAAUGCCAUAUUCUGCAGAUCUCUGUUUUGAAGACCAUCUGUCUAUCUAAAGUAUAUCUUAAUACACAAACAUUGUUUCUAGCUAUUUACUUUAUAUAGGAGACAAAAUAAAGCUUGUUUCUGUAAUUAACUAGUACCUAACAUGACUACAAGUAAGAUUAUUUAUAGAUGACCCACUCCUAUUAUUCCCUAGUUAUCCUAAACAGUUUACAAUAGCAGCUUUCAAAAGCACUAGAAGGGCUGGAGAUGGCUCAGUGGUUAAGAGCACUGACUGCUCUUCCUAAAGGUCCUGAG